rnacentral:rRNA from 1 species
GAUGAACGCUGGCGGCGUGCCUAAUACAUGCAAGUCGAGCGAACAGACGAGGAGCUUGCUCCUCUGACGUUAGCGGCGGACGGGUGAGUAACACGUGGAUAACCUACCUAUAAGACUGGGAUAACUUCGGGAAACCGGAGCUAAUACCGGAUAAUAUAUUGAACCGCAUGGUUCAAUAGUGAAAGACGGUUUUGCUGUCACUUAUAGAUGGAUCCGCGCCGCAUUAGCUAGUUGGUAAGGUAACGGCUUACCAAGGCAACGAUGCGUAGCCGACCUGAGAGGGUGAUCGGCCACACUGGAACUGAGACACGGUCCAGACUCCUACGGGAGGCAGCAGAAGGGAAUCUUCCGCAAUGGGCGAAAGCUUGACGGAGCAACGCCGCGUGAGUGAUGAAGGUCUUCGGAUCGUAAAACUCUGUUAUUAGGGAAGAACAAAUGUGUAAGUAACUAUGCACGUCUUGACGGUACCUAAUCAGAAAGCCACGGCCAACUACGUG